CAGCAGAUUGAUCAGAUCCAGGUGGAGAUCGACUCCCUACAAACGACAAUGGAUGUAAAAGAGGAAAGCAUUGAAAAACUGAAAAGUGCAAUAAAAGGUGAGGAAAGAAAAUGUUAUAAAAUGCAAAAGUUAAACCCAUUAAGGAUUAAGAAGGUACCCACACAACCGCUAAAAGACAAGCAAGUAGGGGUAAUGAUAAAGAAAUUAAGUGAUAAAAUGUGCCCAGUGACUUUACCUGCUCAAACAGGAGAGGC